rnacentral:rRNA from 1 species
AUACGUAGGGGGCGAGCGUUGUCCGGAAUGAUUGGGCGUAAAGGGCGCGUAGGCGGCCCGGUAAGUCUGGAGUGAAAGUCCUGUUUUUAAGAUGGGAAUUGCUUUGGAUACUGUCGGGCUUGAGUGCAGGAGAGGUAAGUGGAAUUCCCAGUGUAGCGGUGAAAUGCGUAGAGAUUGGGAGGAACACCAGUGGCGAAGGCGACUUACUGGACUGUAACUGGCGCUGAGGCGCGAAAGUGUGGGGAGCAAACAGGAUUAGAUGCCCUGGUAGUCCACACUGUAAACGAUGAUUACUAGGUGUGGGGGGACUGACCCCUUCCGUGCCGCAGUUAACACAAUAAGUAAUCCACCUGGGGAGUACGGCCGCAAGGUUGAAACUCAAAUGAAUUGACGGGG